UUGGUUUCGAUGUCAUUUCCUUUAGCUGAUCCUCAACAGGAUGCAUUUAUAGUCAUCACUUCUCACCAUUUACAGUACGUUGCUGCACAGACAUGAUCAUUCUUACAAUCAGUCUGUCUUUUCUGCUUUUCUGGACUUCAGUUUUAGCUGAAGACAAUGUAGUCAACCAACUCCCCAGUGUCGCCUGGCAUCUGAAAGGAGAAUCUGCUGAAAUGAAGUGCAGUCAAAAUAAAGGUCUUGCUUAUAAUCAUAUGCACUGGUACAGACAACGCCAUGGAGAGAGUAUGGAGCUCAUCGUGUACACAACAACCAGUAGUAAAGAGUUUGGCUCUGUUGAUAAAAACAAAUUUUCGACUGUUAAAGAAAUUGCUGCAAAUGGAUCAUUGACUGUGAAGGAUGUGGAUACGGAGGACAGUGCUGUAUAUUUCUGUGUAGUAAGUGAACACAGUGUUACAGAGCUACUGUACUGCUGAACAAAAACACCUGCACU